rnacentral:pre_miRNA from 1 species
CGACGGUUUGUGGUGCGUGCUACUUCGGUGCUUGGCUUUGUUCAUUCCGGUCGGUAAGUCAGGUACCUGAAGUAGCGCGCGCUACGGGCCGGUA